GGCGAACGCUGGCGGCGUGCUUAACACAUGCAAGUCGAACGGAAAGGCCCUGCUUUUGUGGGGUGCUCGAGUGGCGAACGGGUGAGUAACACGUGAGUAACCUGCCCUUGACUUUGGGAUAACUUCAGGAAACUGGGGCUAAUACCGGAUAGGAGCUCCUGCUGCAUGGUGGGGGUUGGAAAGUUUCGGCGGUUGGGGAUGGACUCGCGGCUUAUCAGCUUGUUGGUGGGGUAGUGGCUUACCAAGGCUUUGACGGAUAGCCGGCCUGAGAGGGUGACCGGCCACAUUGGGACUGAGAUACGGCCCAGACUCCUACGGGAGGCAGCAGUGGGGAAUAUUGCACAAUGGGCGGAAGCCUGAUGCAGCAACGCCGCGUGCGGGAUGACGGCCUUCGGGUUGUAAACCGCUUUCGCCUGUGACGAAGCGUGAGUGACGGUAAUGGGUAAAGAAGCACCGGCUAACUACGUG
rnacentral:rRNA from 1 species